CAGCAGCUCCCUUGGUAGGGGCAUGCAGAAGACCUGAUGACACAAACCCUCCAAAGAGUUUCACCCUCACCACAACAGGUGGCUUCCUGCUCGGCAGCCCAUCCUGCAUCACUUCAGUGGACUUCUCUGACAUCUACUAGACCACAUUAAAUGAAUCACAGCCUUGAAACUGAACUGGAAGGACUUCCUUCAAGGAGCCAGCAUAUGAACUUGCUGCCUAUCUUUAGCAAGGAGAUGCAAAUGACAUCCACAAACCUCUUCUGCUGUAUACCUGGAUGAAAGCAAGGCUAGCUGUGUGUCCUAUGGCACCAAGGACUGAAAGAUUGUAAGAAGUAAGAGGGAAAGUGAUCCAAAAAGGUGGAACACCUAAUGUACAGCCCCAAGGAAGGAGCAUACUUGGAGAAUUCAAGGAACAGAAAGAAAAACAGGAAGGCUGGAGUGAAACUGAUUAAAUAAAGCAUCGUAACAUUAGAGGUCCAUCAUAGAGGCCAAGCCAAAUACAACUAUGUUUUCAAGCAUAAGAUGGAUAGAUGUGGUAAACCACAAGAAGCAAACAGCCCUUUAGAGGUGUGGAUUGACCUUGCAGAGUUACAAGUGGAGCCAGGAGAAAUCAUGUUGAGUGGGACUUCUCAUCCUACCUAAGAGAGACUAACAGAUGGAAAGCUGGGUACAGAAGGGAGAGAAGGCAGUAACAGUCAGAUUUCAAUACGCUGAGACUGUGACGUGGGACUUUUGAGUGAGUAACAUCUGCUCCUAGAACUGAGUUGAGUGGGGAUCCUCCCACACCACCCAGGCAAGAGAACUAACAAUUGAUGACUGCUCCAAAUCAGUCGCCAGUCUACCUAAUACUUCUACCUGGUAGGUAGCCUGAUACCCACUAACAUCAGACAGAGCCUCACUCUGUCACCCAGGCUGGAGUGCUAGAGUGCAGUGGCAUGAUCAUAGCUCCCUGAAGCCUUGAGCUCCUGGUCCCAAGAGAUCCUCUUGCCUCAGCUUUGCCAGAAGUGCUCUUCCUCUCUGUCCAGUGGGCAAGCACCAAUUCAUUUUCAAACUCUCCACUGAAGCAUCAAUUUUCUGUAAUGCCUUUCUUGACCUCAGAGAUACCUGCAGAAGCACUUAGAGAAUUUCUUCUCUGAUCUUUGCUUUAGAAUACUGUGGUAACAAGUGAAGCAAGGAAAGAAAGUGAUAUGGCAAAAGAUGAAAUAAAAUUGGCAGCAUGUUGAAAUCUUCUGACAUUGUGUGAUGUGAUGCCAGAAGUAGAGCAGCCAUCUUGCAACCACAAAGCAACAGCAUGAGUAUGAAAGUUAGUGCAUUAAGGAUGCUGGAAUAGAAUGAUUGAAAGCCAGAUGCCUAAUGACGUUGCUGAAUAGCUGAAACAAUACCAGCAACUAGCUGGUCUUGCUCUGUUGCCUGGCCUGAAGUGCAGUGGCAUGAUCAUGGCUCACUGCAGCCUCAACCUCCCAGGCACAAGUGAUCCUCCCACCUCAACUUCCAGAAUAUAGAAGCUGGAACUACAGUGACCUACAUCCAAAGUGAAAAGUUAUUCAGCCUCUGAAGAGAAGCAUUUUGUUUGGGGAUCUUCAAGUAUGCUUGUCAGCACCGAGAACUGGAAAAAAAUCUCUGAUUGUCCUGCAGCAAUGGCAUUAAAGGCUCCUCAUAACAUACAGAACCAGAAUUGUGCCAUAAUUUACUGAAAUUGAACAUUGCUCUGUGACUGCUAAUUUUCCAUCGAGAUGAUUCUGUCUCUAACCAAGAAAAGAAAAGUUUGUCUUCCUGACUGCUGACACUGCUGACCAAGCCCACCACCAGAUGCCUGGCUGCACACCCAGAGGGCAGCCGCUUCCCGUGGUCCUCUCGAAGAACUUCCCUUUUGCAAUGCAUGUUUAGCAAGUGGAUGAGUUUGUCUUUUCUGAUUUCUCUGCAAGCUCUGCAUUGCCCACCUGAACCAGUGCUUCAGAAGAACUAAUGGGAUCUCUGACCCUCCAACAUCCUCUUCCAGACUUUCACUUUCCUGGCUCCUUGCAGGGACAUGUAAUAAACGUGCUCUCCAGAG
rnacentral:lncRNA from 1 species